rnacentral:misc_RNA from 1 species
UGGGCUAUUCGAUCCCACGCGAUCGUUUAUAUAACACAAAAGAGAUGCACGUAAACAUCUAUGCGAUGGAAGACGAAAUACGGCGCCAUUUCAAUCCUGUAUAGCAUUUUGUUUAUCAGACCAGCACGUCAGCCAUCUUAAUAAACGAACUUCGAGCGCUUGCGCUCUUUCCCACGUCAAAUGAGGACGCGUAACUGGCGUAAAUUGAAACCGACAGAAACUAACGGUGGCGCCACGAAUGACGGAAACUGCCGUUCUGCGUAUUGGUAAAGAAGGAACUCUAGAAGUGCGUAUGAGUAUGGUAUCUUUAAUAUACAUAUUCUUACCUCUAAAAUGGCUCGAAGACGAUAAUCGUCAACUGCAUUAAGUAUCUCAGCACGUGUCAGUCUUCCACUCUCUUGAAGUACUUCAAUAUCAUCCAGAGAGUCUAAAAUUUCAGCUACAGCACCUAAAAAUUAAUUUCGUCUUUAGAAGAUACACAUGAUAGUACGUAAUAAGUAAUACACAAUUGAUACAUUGAAUCAUUCUCGAUAAUAUGUACUAGUUCCUAUAAUUCCAAUUAACGAAAAAUUUCAGAAGUGUAAUAAAAA